rnacentral:rRNA from 1 species
UACGUAGGGUGCGAGCGUAAUCGGAAUUACUGGGCGUAAAGCGUGCGCAGGCGGUUUUGUAAGCCAGAUGUGAAAUCCCCGGGCUCAACCUGGGAAUGGCAUUUGGGACUGCAAGGCUGGAGUGCGGCAGAGGAGACUGGAAUUCCUGGUGUAGCAGUGAAAUGCGUAGAUAUCAGGAGGAAUACCGAUGGCGAAGGCAGGUCUCUGGGCUGACACUGACGCUCAUGCACGAAAGCGUGGGGAGCAAACAGG